rnacentral:rRNA from 1 species
AAGGUUUCCCCAGGUAACAAUUCCCUUGAGUUGAUCCUGGCUCGGAUGAACGCUAGCGGCAGGCUUAAUACCCUUUAGAUCGAGGGGCAGCACGAAUAGCCAUAUUUGGUGGCGACCGGCGCACGGGUGCGUAACACGUAUACAACCUACCUAUAACAGGGGGAUAGCCUUUCGAAAGAGAGAUUAAUACCCCGUAAUAAAUUGAACGGCCAUCGUUUGAUUUUGAAAGCUCCGGCGGUUAUAGAUGGGUAUGCGUCUGAUUAGCUAGUUGGUGAGGUAAUGGCUCACCAAGGCGACGAUCAGUAGGGGAUCUGAGAAGGACUAACCCCCACACUGGUACUGAGACACGGACCAGACUCCUACGGGAGGCAGCAGUAAGGGAAUAUUGGUCAAUGGAGGCAACUCUGAACCAGCCAUGCCGCGUGCAGGAAGAAGGUCCUAUGGAUUGUAAACUGCUUUUAUACAGGAAGAAACACCUCUACGUGUAGAGACUUGACGGUACUGUAUGAAUAAGGACCGGCUAACUCCGUGCCAGCAGCCGCGGUAAUACGGAGGGUCCAAGCGUUAUCCGGAAUCAUUGGGUUUAAAGGGUCCGUAGGCGGCCAAAUAAGUCAGUGGUGAAAGCCCAUCGCUCAACGAUGGAACGGCCAUUGAUACUGUUUGGCUUGAAUUAUUAGGGAAGUAACUAGAAUAUGUAGUGUAGCGGUGAAAUGCUUAGAGAUUACAUGGAAUACCAAUUGCGAAGGCAGGUUACUACUAAUAUAUUGACGCUGAUGGACGAAAGCGUGGGGAGCGAACAGGAUUAGAUACCCUGGUAGUCCACGCCGUAAACGAUGGAUACCAGCUGUUCGGAGCAAUUGGAGUGGCUAAGCGAAAGUGAUAAAGUAUCGGGCCUGGGGAGUACGUUCGCAAGAAUGAAACUACAAAGGAAUACG